GGCCGACUAGCUCAGUUGGUUAGAGCGUCGUGCUAAUAUCACCCAUCUGUGGUAUUGAUUUGACGCGAAGGUCUUGGGUUCGACCCCCACGUUGGCCA